rnacentral:rRNA from 1 species
GACGAACGCUUGCGGCGUGCUUAACACAUGCAAGUCGAACGGAAAGGCCCUGCUUUUGUGGGGUGCUCGAGUGGCGAACGGGUGAGUAACACGUGAGUAACCUGCCCUUGACUUUGGGAUAACUUCAGGAAACUGGGGCUAAUACCGGAUAGGAGCUCCUGCUGCAUGGUGGGGGUUGGAAAGUUUCGGCGGUUGGGGAUGGACUCGCGGCUUAUCAGCUUGUUGGUGGGGUAGUGGCUUACCAAGGCUUUGACGGGUAGCCGGCCUGAGAGGGUGACCGGCCACAUUGGGACUGAGAUACGGCCCAGACUCCUACGGGAGGCAGCAGUGGGGAAUAUUGCACAAUGGGCGGAAGCCUGAUGCAGCAACGCCGCGUGCGGGAUGACGGCCUUCGGGUUGUAAACCGCUUUCGCCUGUGACGAAGCGUGAGUGACGGUAAUGGGUAAAGAAGCACCGGCUAACUACGUGCCAGCAGCCGCGGUGAUACGUAGGGUGCGAGCGUUGUCCGGAUUUAUUGGGCGUAAAGGGCUCGUAGGUGGUUGAUCGCGUCGGAAGUGUAAUCUUGGGGCUUAACCCUGAGCGUGCUUUCGAUACGGGUUGACUUGAGGAAGGUAGGGGAGAAUGGAAUUCCUGGUGGAGCGGUGGAAUGCGCAGAUAUCAGGAGGAACACCAGUGGCGAAGGCGGUUCUCUGGGCCUUUCCUGACGCUGAGGAGCGAAAGCGUGGGGAGCGAACAGGCUUAGAUACCCUGGUAGUCCACGCUGUAAACGGUGGGUACUAGGUGUGGGGUCCAUUCCACGGGUUCCGUGCCGUAGCUAACGCUUUAAGUACCCCGCCUGGGGAGUACGGCCGCAAGGCUAAAACUCAAAGGAAUUGACGGGGCCCCGCACAAGCGGCGGAGCAUGCGGAUUAAUUCGAUGCAACGCGUAGAACCUUACCUGGGUUUGACAUGGAUCGGGAGUGCUCAGAGAUGGGUGUGCCUCUUUUGGGGUCGGUUCACAGGUGGUGCAUGGCUGUCGUCAGCUCGUGUCGUGAGAUGUUGGGUUAAGUCCCGCAACGAGCGCAACCCUUGUUCACUGUUGCCAGCACGUUAUGGUGGGGACUCAGUGGAGACCGCCGGGGUCAACUCGGAGGAAGGUGGGGAUGACGUCAAGUCACCAUGCCCCUUAUGUCCAGGGCUUCACGCAUGCUACAAUGGCUGGUACAGAGAGUGGCGAGCCUGUGAGGGUGAGCGAAUCUCGGAAAGCCGGUCUCAGUUCGGAUUGGGGUCUGCAACUCGACCUCAUGAAGUCGGAGUCGCUAGUAAUCGCAGAUCAGCAACGCUGCGGUGAAUACGUUCCCGGGGCU